rnacentral:tRNA from 1 species
UAGCUCAGUUGGUAGAGUGCUUGCUUUGCAUGCACAAGACCCUGGGUUCAAUCCCCAG